GACGAACGCUGGCGGCGUGCCUAAUACAUGCAAGUUGAGCGAUGAAGAUUGGUGCUUGCCCCAAUUUGAAGAGCAGCGAACGGGUGAGUAACGCGUGGGGAAUCUGCCUUUGAGCGGGGGACAACAUUUGGAAACGAAUGCUAAUACCGCAUAACAACUUUAAACAUAAGUUUUAAGUUUGAAAGAUGCAAUUGCAUCACUCAAAGAUGAUCCCGCGUUGUAUUAGCUAGUUGGUGAGGUAAAUGCUCACCAAGGCGAUGAUACAUAGCCGACCUGAGAGGGUGAUCGGCCACAUUGGGACUGAGACACGGCCCAAACUCCUACGGGAGGCAGCAGUAGGGAAGCUUCGGCAAUGGACGAAAGUCUGACCGAGCAACGCCGCGUGAGUGAAGAAGGUUUUCGGAUCGUAAAACUCUGUUGGUAGAGAAGAACGUUGGUGAGAGUGGAAAGCUCAUCAAGUGACGGUAACUACCCAGAAAGGGACGGCUAACUACGUG
rnacentral:rRNA from 1 species